UCCUCGUUAGUAUAGUGGACAGUAUCUCCGCCUGUCACGCGGAAUACCGGGGAUUCGAUUCCCCGACGGGGAG
rfam:Danio rerio chromosome 4, GRCz11 reference primary assembly.